rnacentral:rRNA from 1 species
CCUACGGGAGGCAGCAGUCGAGAAUCAUUCACAAUGGGGGAAACCCUGAUGGUGCGACGCCGCGUGGGGGAAUGAAGGUCUUCGGAUUGUAAACCCCUGUCAUGUGGGAGCAAAUUAAAAAGAUAGUACCACAAGAGGAAGAGCCGGCUAACUCUGUGCCAGCAGCCGCGGUAAUACAGAGGUCUCAAGCGUUGGUCGGAAUCACUGGGCGUAAAGCGUGCGUAGGCUGUUUCGUAAGUCGUGUGUGAAAGGCGCGGGCUCAACCCGCGGACGGCACAUGAUACUGCGAGACUAGAGUAAGGGAGGGGGAACCGGAAUUCUCGGUGUAGCAGUGAAAUGCGUAGAGAUCGAGAGGAACACUCGUGGCGAAGGCGGGUUCCUGGACAUUAACUGACGCUGAGGCACGAAGGCCAGGGGAGCGAAAGGGAUUAGAUACCCGAGUAGUC